UCUCAUGGUUCACUACAAGGAAUUUGUAAUAUUACUACGUAAAGUUUGCUUGCCUGGUUUUUGUUUUCCACCCUUCCUGUUUCUGUGUACGGGUUUAGGUCUUUUCCAUUCCUUAAAAUUACAUGUCUGAAGAUGCAAACUUACCUUUUUUUUCUUGUAUGGUUCAUUGAGAAAUUAACAGAAACAGAUGGCAAAAGGCCGCAGCAACAAGGUCCAUCAUAUGCAUCAUCUCCAGCUCUAAUUUGUAUUAUUGUCCAAUGGCUCUUAAGAGAGUAUAUUAAUGCAUUAUGCAUGGUUCUUUAUUUUCCCCGGGUGGAUGGAAAUUCAAUGUCCUGUCAGGGCAGAAAUGCCACCUAUCAUACCUUGCUAAUUUUCUACAUUGUGACAAUGUAGCAUGCCCAGCUGUCAUCCACUGCUAUUUCUUAUGGACCUCACAGUGCACAUCCAAUAGAUGCAUUCAUUGUUCACAACACUACUACUGAGGUCUAUGUAUACUCUAAUCUACUGUACAGAAAUUGUUCAGCAGCUCAGGCUUCUCUGAAUGUUUUGUAGUUGUAGGCACAGAGGU
rnacentral:lncRNA from 1 species